CGUAGAUAGAGGAUAGAGUAUAGAUAAGCUACUAAUUAAAAAAAAAAAUAGAGUGAGAAAGCUUAUAUGUCAGAUAAAUAUGGGAGAGCAGGACAAAACAUUUUUUUCUGUCUCCGCUUGCGUAUCGGUUUUUUAUGUUUGCCACCAUUUGCUUUGGUGGCAGACAAUUGCGUGGUGUUUUGAUGUUUUUCAUCAAUUUAUAGUGAUUUCAUGUCAAAUAAAACAAUCAGAACAUUGUUCUACACAGUAUUUUGUGUGAUUUCGUUUGCAGUAAUGGUGAAUUGUUGUAUAAUUGGUUGUAAAAGCCGUAGUGAACGAAAAGAACCAAACAUAACCUUUCAUCGAUUCCCGAAUGAACCAAGUUUAAGAAAUAAAUGGACGGAGUGUACGGGCCGAGUACAUUGGCAUCCAAGUCAACAUUCUCGAAUAUGUUCCAGACAUUUUGAAUCCAGAUGCUAAAGUAUCUGAAAGUUCGAAUACAUCAUGCAGCUAAAAAGCUUUCAGAAAAGUCUGAUAUCGUCAGGAAUUUUUAAAACAAAUUAAUUUUGUUUAAGGGUCAGUGAUACUGAUUAAAGUAUUAUAUUAAA